AGUGAACGCUGGCGGUAGGCCUAACACAUGCAAGUCGAACGGCAGCACAGUAAGAGCUUGCUCUUACGGGUGGCGAGUGGCGGACGGGUGAGGAAUACAUCGGAAUCUACUUUUUCGUGGGGGAUAACGUAGGGAAACUUACGCUAAUACCGCAUACGACCUACGGGUGAAAGCAUGGGAUCUUCGGACCUUGCGCGAUUGAAUGAGCCGAGGUCGGAUUAGCUAGUUGGCGGGGUAAAGGCCCACCAAGGCGACGAUCCGUAGCUGGUCUGAGAGGAUGAUCAGCCACACUGGAACUGAGACACGGUCCAGACUCCUACGGGAGGCAGCAGUGGGGAAUAUUGGACAAUGGGCGCAAGCCUGAUCCAGCCAUACCGCGUGGGUGAAGAAGGCCUUCGGGUUGUAAAGCCCUUUUGUUGGGAAAGAAAAGCAGCAGGUUAAUACCCCGCUGUUCUGACGGUACCAAAAGAAUAAGCACCGGCUAACUUCGUG
rnacentral:rRNA from 1 species